CGUAUUUCAAGCAAAAAAUCAUCGCAGAAAGCCAAAGUCUUCCAUCAAGUCCUUGUGUUGAGGAGUUACGAGCAUCUUUUGAUACGGAGGCUUCAAAUGACUGGGGCUGGGAUAGUGACAUGGCAGCUCUUCUGUUGUUGCUGCAUCUCCUGCCCCCAACAUCAAAAGGCCACAAAAAAACAGCAAAAAUUAGCUCUGCACAGGCAGCCAAUCAUCUUGUGAGAUUCGUCAAGGAAGGAGUCAGCCUCACUACUUUCCUGGAGAAAGCUAACACCAGGCAGCCCUUCCUUCUCUGCAUUGGUGAGCAAAAGAAGAACAUUCAGAGGUUCUUCAUCAUUGUAG